rnacentral:lncRNA from 1 species
UUCAUAAGAUCAGAUAUAGCUCUUCCAUCUAGAGGUCUUUGGCUUCAUUCAGUUGGGUUUUCAGCCCGUGCAGGAUUAUUCGGUUGGUUACUUUCACUUUAUCAUUUGAUUGCGAAUGGCCGAUCGAAGUGAGUUUGUACGUAAUAUGAAAUUUUGUGCAAAAUUUUUUAAAAUUUUGGUUGUCAAAUUAUCGAUCAUUGUCGGUGAUGAUGGUGUGUGG